rnacentral:rRNA from 1 species
UGCGUAGGGUGCAAGCGUUAAUCGGAAUUACUGGGCGUAAAGCGUGCGCAGGCGGUUCUAUAAGACAGAUGUGAAAUCCCCGGGCUCAACCUGGGAACUGCAUUUGUGACUGUAGAGCUGGAGUACGGUAGAGGGGGAUGGAAUUCCGCGUGUAGCAGUGAAAUGCGUAGAUAUGCGGAGGAACACCGAUGGCGAAGGCAAUCCCCUGGACCUGUACUGACGCUCAUGCACGAAAGCGUGGGGAGCAAACAGG